AACGCUUCUCGGCCUGCUGGCUAAGAUCAGAAGUGUAGUAUCUGUUCUUAUCAGUUUAAUAUCACAAUCGUCCCCUACCGGGGACUACAUAUUAAGUGAUUUUUGGAUCCGCGGGCUGGGCGGGGCUUGCUCCUGCUGUCCCACUCCUUGCCGCAUCGGCCUGGUAUUGCGAGUGUCUCCAGGAGCGGUGUGCUUCCC